UAUUUAUUAUUUUUGAGACACAGUCUCACUGUCGCCCAGUGUAGUGGCACGAUCUCGGCUCAUUGCAACCUCCGCCUCCCGGGUUCAAGCGAUUCUCCUAUCUCAGGCUCCCUAGUAGCUGAAAUUACAGGUACACGCCACUACGUUCGGCUAAUUUUUGUAUUUUUAGUAGGGACGGGGUUUCACCAUGUUGGCCAGGCUGGUUUCGAACUCCUGACCUCAGGUGAUCCGCUCGCCUCGGCUUUCCAAAGCGUUGGGAUUACAGGCGUGAGACACAGCGCCGGCCUGUCCAUUUAUUUUUGUUUUCUCUUUGUCACACUAAAAUAUAAGUUCCAUGGGAGCAGAAACUCGAUCUGAGGCUCCCGGAAGAAACAGCGACUGACGCCAAUUGCCUUCAACAAGAGACCGCUAGAAGAUAGCUGGUUAUUUUGGAGAGGGUCGCUCUGGAAGGAGCCGCGGCAGCUACCCUAGCUACGCCAUCCAAAUCAGCCUGAACGAAGAAGUGCAGACACUCGCCCUGGCCCCUCCGUCCUGAAAAGCAGACUAAUGCAAACAGCAGAAAACAACGCCACAGAGGUCCAAGUCACCGCGCCUAACUUUCCCAGGCCGGAAGCCGCGUGGAGGCGUUGCCGGAAGUCGAGACCGAGGGCGGAGAAAGGGACAGUGGGAUGUGGAGCGAUUGUGUGUGGCAAGGCAGCUGCGGAAUUCCGAGCCUGUGGUACCCGCUGUCCUUCCCAUUCCCCAUCUAGUAACUCUCAGGCUCAGCCCACGUAUCUCCCUGAGUGGAAUCUCGGGCCCCAGACCAAUCGACUGGGCGGUCCGCCCUCCCUUUCAGCGGCUUGAUCUGUGUUUGGAAAGUCGCCCCGACAACAGCCACUUCCGGGAGGGCGCUCCGCUAAUCCCGUUCCGCCGGUUGGCCAGAAUCAGCUGCCCUCUCAGGUUGUGUGGAUAGUUGCCCCGGCAGUAGCUACGUACGGGCGUAGACUGCUGGGCCUCCAUGCACCCCAGCCUUCCCCAUUCGGGUUCAGAGCUUGAACUGGCGGCUCCCCUGGCUCUGUUUCACUGUUGCUCCUAGCAACAGCUACUUCCGGGAGUGAGUGCGGUUUCCCUCGCGCACCGCGGACGCGGGAGCCUGAGGUUCCGGCCUCUGAGCGGCGGUUAGUGCGUCGUGGCAGCUCGCCAUCCAGCGACCCUCGGCCGGCAGGACCCGCGGGCCAAGUAGCUCGGGGCUUCUCACAGCCUCAGCGCCUCGGCGGGACUGCCAUGGUUCUGCUGCACGUGAAGCGGGGCGACGAGAGCCAGUUCCUGCUGCAGGCGCCUGGGAGCACCGAACUGGAGGAGCUCACGGUGCAGGUGGCUCGGGUCUACAAUGGGCGACUCAAGGUGCAGCGCCUCUGCUCAGAAAUGGAAGAAUUAGCAGAACAUGGCAUAUUUCUCCCUCCCAAUAUGCAAGGACUGACCGAUGAUCAGAUUGAAGAAUUGAAAUUAAAGGAUGAGUGGGGUGAAAAAUGUGUACCCAGCGGUGGUGCUAUAUUUAAAAAGGAUGAUAUUGGACGAAGGAAUGGACAAGCUCCAAAUGAGAAAAUGAAGCAAGUGUUAAAGAAGACUAUAGAAGAAGCCAAAGCAAUCAUAUCUAAGAAACAAGUGGAAGCCGGUAUCUGUGUUACCAUGGAGAUGGUGAAGGAUGCCUUGGACCAGCUGCGAGGCGCAGUGAUGAUUGUUUAUCCCAUGGGGUUGCCACCGUAUGAUCCCAUCCGGAUGGAAUUUGAAAAUAAGGAAGAUUUGUCAGGAACGCAGGCAGGGCUCAGCGUCAUUAAAGAGUCAGAGGCUCAGCUGUGGUGGGCAGCCAAGGAGCUGAGAAGAACAAAGAAGCUUUCAGACUACGUGGGGAAAAAUGAAAAAACCAAAAUUAUCACCAAGAUUCAGCAAAGAGGACAUGGCGCUCCAGCCCGAGAGCCCAUCAUCAGCAGCGAGGAGCAGAAGCAGCUGAUGCUGUACUAUCACAGGAGGCAAGAAGAGCUCAAGAGAUUAGAAGAAAAUGAUGACGACGCCUGUUUAAACUCUCCAUGGGCGGAUAACACUGCUUUGAAAAGACAUUUUCAUGGAGUAAAAGACAUAAAGUGGAGACCAAAAUGAAGUUCACCAGCUGAUGACACUUCUGAAAAGAUGAGCUCACCUUUCUCCUGGACACAAUAGUUACAAUUUAAAAAGCCACUUAGCACUCUCUGUAAAAGAUGUUAAAUCUAGUUUUCUUUAGUGUGAAUUUUUAAAACGGCAGUUAUUCAAGGUUUUAGAACUUAAUAAAUACGUAGUCGGAAGAAAAUGUGUAAAUCAUUUGUUUCAGGACAGCUAUUUAGUAUGUGAGGGUUUUCUUUGAUAAAAUACUAAACUUUUUUUCCUCCUGAUUGUUUUGUAUUCUCGUGACAACUGGUUGUAUUGGAGGAAAGCUGAUGACCAGCAGUGACCACUAGAGGCCGCCAGCCGCUCAGCGAGCCUUUUUCUCUGGGCCCUCUUCGUAGAUGUAUUGGAGGCCGGACGCCCAGCCUUGCUGGAGAGAGAGACUUCUCUCACCCUGCGGCGGGGUCUAACUAGCCAGGCGUCUCCCAGUCUUGAAGGUGAAGUUUGCCUCCUAGUUGAUGCCUGUCAGGCCUUGUAUUCUGGGAGGGAAAGCUACACCUGUGAUGGAAGUUGAGUAGCAAACUCAUCCGACCUUGGAACUUAAAUUCGUCUGCAGUUUCCCAGCUUCUCAAGUCUCCUUCAUCAGAAUAGAUCCUGGAAACAAAUCUAGAUUCUGUGAAGGGUGAUGUCUCCCCGUGGAUGCAGGUAUGACUGUGGGCUCAGCUUCAUAGGCGGCUCAGUGACCAACCGUGGGAUGAACAGGGUUGCCAUCAUCCUGGGUGUCUAGGAUGCCUUUGAGUUUCAAGACUCUUAACUCAUCAUGACUGCAAACCAUCCAAGUAGCCUGAAAACUCUGGCACUUUAGCAUCCGCAAAGACGCCUGUCAGACCGCCGGUGACAACCAGAAGUGGCCCAGACGUUUCCUCGUGCUUGACUUUUGGUGCCUAGGGUCCUGUUCCCUUGGUUAGAGGGAAAACGCACUGAGGGGAAAGUGAAGGGCGUGGGGCAUCUCCCUGCCCAGCCCUUCCUGCCUUGGUGCCUGUGCUCCCCACCAUCCUGUAAAGACGAACCCUGGGAGCGAGUGGAGGGGGCAUGAGAAUGGGUCCGCUUGCUGCCAGGCAGCCUUGCCCAGGGCGUGGGGUCCCAGACCCGAUAGCAAAGCCCUGUUGUCUAAAGCGCAUGUAGCUGACUGCGUCUUGUACCUUACUCUUUUAUUUUCAAAUUUUGUAAAACCAAAAUUGCAUCUAUUUCCCUUUUUACUCAGUUACAGUUUUAAAUGUCUCUAUGAAAGAGUUUUGACCUUGGAUGAUGUAGUGUGUGCAAUAAGAUGCUGUGAUUUUUA